UACGUAGGUGGCAAGCGUUGUCCGGAUUUACUGGGCGUAAAGAGCGCGCAGGCGGUCGUUCAAGUCGAGUGUGAAAGCCCCCGGCUCAACUGGGGAGGGUCACUCGAUACUGAUCGACUUGAAGGCAGGAGAGGGAAGCGGAAUUCCCGGUGUAGUGGUGAAAUGCGUAGAUAUCGGGAGGAACACCUGUGGCGAAGGCGGCCCCCUGGUUGGAUACUGACGCUGAGACGCGAAAGCGUGGGGAGCAAACAGG
rnacentral:rRNA from 1 species